ensembl:snoRNA
UUAGGGAAGACACACUUGUCCUCCUUGAGAUCAUAGUUUUGUGAUGAGGGUCUUGAUCGUUGUAUUCAUCCCUAA